CUCCUUACCUCGGGGUGCUGGGAAACCAGCUGAGAUGCGCAAGCGAACCCGUUGAACCUGAACCGGUUAGGACCGGCGGAGGGAAGGUUGAGAUCAUCCUC
rnacentral:ncRNA from 2 species